CCACCCCAUAGCAUCACCCCCACCCCCCAUCCGUGUCCAUCCACCCCAUCUCCGCGGCGUCCGUCUGUCCGUCCGUCCAUCCCAAUGGUGUCCGUCUGUCCGUCCAUUGCAGUGCCGUCCGUCCAUCCAUCCCAAUGGUGUCCGUCUGUCUGUCCGUCCAUUGCAGUGCUGUCCAUCUGUCCAUCCAUCCCAAUGAUGUCCGUCUGUCUGUCCACCCCAAUGACGUCCAUCCAUCCCAACGGUGUCCGUCUGUCCAUCCAUCCCAAUGGUGUCCGUCUGUCCAUCCAUUGCAGUGCUGUCCGUCCCAUUUGGGUGUCCGUCUGUCCAUCCAUCCAUCCCAAUGGUGUCCGUCUGUCCGUCCAUCACAGUGCUGUCCGUCCAUCUCAAUGGUGUCCGUCCGUCCGUCCAUCCCAAUGACAUCCAUCCAUCCCAAUGGUGUCCGUCUGUCCGUCCAUCACAGUGCUGUCCGUCCAUCUCAAUGGUGUCCGUCUGUCCGUCCAUCCCAAUGACAUCCAUCCAUCCCAAUGAUGUCCGUCUGUCCGUCCGUCCCAAUGGUUGCUGUCCGUCCAUCCAUCCCAUUGCGGUGUCCAUCUGUCCGUCCAUCCCAAUGGUGUCCGUCCGUCCGUCCAUCCAUCACAGUGCCGUCCAUCCGUCCCAUUGCGGUGUCCGUCUGUCCGUCCAUCCAUCCCAAUGGUGUCCGUCUGUCCGUCCAUCACAGUGCUGUCCGUCCAUCCCAAUGGUGUCCGUCUGUCCAUCCAUCCCAAUGACAUCCAUCCAUCCCAAUGGUGUCCGUCUGUCCGUCCGUCCAUUGCAGUGCUGUCCGUCCAUCCAUCCCAAUGGUGUCCGUCUGUCCGUCCAUCCAUUGCAGUGCUGUCCAUCCAUCCAUCCCAUUGCGGUGUCCGUCUGUCCGUCCGUCCCAAUGAUGUCCGUCCAUCCAAAUGGUGUCCGUCCAUCCAUCCCAAUGGUGUCCGUCUGUCUGUCCAUCACAGUGCUGUCUGUCCAUCCCAAUGGUGUCCGUCUGUCCGUCCGUCCAUUGCAGUGCUGUCCGUCCAUCCAUCCCAAUGGUGUCCGUCCGUCCGUCCAUCCCAAUGACGUCCAUCCAUCCCAAUGAUGUCCGUCUGUCCGUCCAUUGCAGUGCUGUCCCUCCAUCCAUCCCAUUGCGGUGUCCAUCUGUCCGUCCAUCCCAAUGGUGUCCUGCUGUCCGUCCGUCCAUCCCAAUGACGUCCAUUCAUCCCAAUGGUGUCCGUCCGUCCGUCCAUCACAGUGCUGUCCAUCCAUCCAUCCCAAUGGUGUCCUGCUGUCUGUCCAUCCCAAUGCUGUCCGUCUGUCCGUCCAUCCAUUGCAGUGCUGUCCGUCCAUCCAUCCCAAUGCUGUCCGUCUGUCCGUCCAUCCCAAUGACGUCCAUCCAUCCCAAUGGUGUCCGUCUGUCCGUCCGUCCAUUGCAGUGCUGUCCAUCCAUCCAUCCCAAUGGUGUCCGUCCGUCCGUCCAUCCCAAUGACGUCCAUUCAUCCCAAUGGUGUCCGUCUGUCCGUCCAUCACAGUGCCGUCCGUCCAUCCAUCCCAAUGGUGUCCGUCUGUCCGUCCAUCACAGUGCCGUCCGUCCAUCCAUCCCAAUGGUGUCCGUCUGUCCAUCCAUCCCAAUGACGUCCGUCCAUCUCAAUGGUGUCCGUCUGUCCGUCCAUUGCAGUGCUGUCCGUCCAUCCAUCCAAAUGGUGUCCGUCCGUCCGUCUGUCCAUCACAGUGCCGUCCAUCCAUCCAUCCCAUUGCGGUGUCCGUCUGUCCGUCCAUUGCAGUGCUGUCCGUCCAUCCCAAUGGUGUCCGUCCGUCCGUCCAUCCCAAUGACGUCCAUUCAUCCCAAUGAUGUCCGUCUGUCCGUCCAUUGCAGUGCUGUCCGUCCAUCCCAAUGGUGUCCGUCCGUCCGUCCAUCCCAAUGACGUCCAUUCAUCCCAAUGAUGUCUGUCCGUCCAUCCAUUGCAGUGCCGUCCAUCCAUCCAUCCCAAUGGUGUCCGUCUGUCUGUCCGUCACAGUGCUGUCCGUCCAUCCCAAUGCUGUCCGUCUGCCCAUCCAUCCCAGUGAUGUCCGUCCGUCCGUCCAUUGCAGUGCUGUCCGUCCGUCCAUCCCAAUGGUGUCCGUCUGUCCGUCCGUCCAUCCCAUCCCAUCCCCCCACCUCUCCAAUGCUGGAAGAGGCGAUGCGGAGGAGGAAGAAGAGGGUUUGGGGGGGGGGGGGGGGG
ensembl:lncRNA